GAACAAGUAUUACAAUUCUUGCAAUGUUUUUGCAGAAAAAUCUGGGUUGAUACAUCCUGAAGCCACAUCAUUUUCAUCAUAAGAAUGUAAAAAAUUUCUCUCGAUUUUCAAUCAUCCACCUCUAAGGGUAGUGAAAACCUUGGAGUUCAGAAAAGCUAAAAUGCACAUGCAUGAAGACUAAUCAAGUCUGAAAUCCGAUUCACACACACAGUGAAACUAAAGAAGCAGCUCCCAACUGAUCAUCAGUUGUUACUUGUGGCAUCAUAAAGGAUAAGAAGCAAAAUGGCUGCGCUCAAAUCAGAAUUUAUGUUAUUAGCACUUUCCUUUGAGUCGCAGAGAAAAUGCAUGUAAGCUUUUAAGAACUUCCUUUAUUCCCUCCUUUGCUUGUGGAUCAAUCAAGUUGCCAUCGCUAUCAAAUUUUGCAGGAGGUGCAAAUGCGUUCAAGAAAAACUCAGGUUUGUUGAUGAAAUGAAGAUCAAGAUAAACUCCAAUUUGGCGAAGAUGGUACUGUGAUCGCCCUCCACCAAAACUUCCUCCAGCACUUACAAUGGCAGCAGCUUUAUCAGCCCAGCAAUUUGGUGGUCUGGAUGCCCAGUCAAUUGCAUUCUUCAAAGGUGCAGUUACAGAGUAAUUAUACUCAGGGGAAGCGAAAAGGACGCUAUCGGCUUCAAGAAUCUUUUCGCGGAAAGCUUCAACGAC
rnacentral:misc_RNA from 1 species